rnacentral:lncRNA from 10 species
UUUCUUGUAGCUUUGCCUUGGUGUCUGUGUUUGAAUAAAAAGUCCCCUUUCCCAGUCUUUACAAACUGGCUUUGGCAGCAUGCUGAAAGACUAGAAGAUUGAAUAUAUGCCCCACUUUCUUCUCCCUCCGAGAGAAAAUUUUAGACUGAGGCAAUCUCUCAGUUGGUGCCGAGCUGUGACAACUUGAAAAAAGAGCUGAUAUGAAGACUGAAUUUAAAAAUGUGAUGCAUAUACACGAUGGAAUACUAUGCAGCCAUAAAAGAACAAAAUUCUGUCAUUUGCCUCAACAAAUGGAGGAGUCUGAAGGAUGUUAAGUGAAAUAUGCCAGGUACAGAAAGGUGGAGUCAGGGAAAAAUUGCAUAGGCAUAAAAUGGAGAAAAGAACCUGACUGCGAAGGGAGAGAUCAGACUGAUGCAGACAAAAGUCAAGGAAUGCUGGCAGCCACCUGAAGAUGAAAUAUGCAUGGAACUGAUUAUUUCCUAGAGAUUCUGGAGACUGAUACCUUGGUUUCAUUCUAGUGAAACUGAUUUUGGACAUCUGACCUCCAAAACUGUAAGAAAAUAAAAUGUGUUGUUUUACUUCCCUAAGCAUGUGGUAAUUUGUCACAACCAAAGGGAACUAAUACAAAAUCUUUGUUGUGUUAAACCAUUGGGUUUUCACUUAAUGUGUUACUGCAGUAAAAUCUAGCAUCUUUUAUUACCUAUCUUCUUGUUUUCUACAAACAGAUGAUGAGUUUUUCCUAUUAGUUCUCCUUAUUAUUCAUUUACUCAUUCACUAAAAUCUUUUACUGAGCCCCAACUCUGUUCCAGGCAUGAAUCUUUGUUAGUGACCAAGUCAGAAAUUGUUCCUGUAUGCAUCAAGCUUUUAUUCUUGUUGAAAAACAAAUUUAAGUAAACACACACAAAUAGAUAACUUUGUAUUGUGAUCAAUAUUAUGAAGGAACAGAUAAUAGAGAUAAAAUUGGAUAGGCCUUUUUAACAUUUAAUAUGUAAAUUUGUUCCUUCACUGAGUUGCCAUUUUAUUAGACACUCUUGAGUCCUUCCAUGUAAUCAACAUCAGAUCAGACUAAUAUCUGAGAAUAAUGACUGAGUAGUGCAGCUACAUUUAUAAAAAUGAAUCUAUAUAAUUAAUAAGUGUUUCAAUAGUUCUAUGGAGAAGGGUGACAAAUUAGGUGAUGAAAUGACAUAAGAAUAAGAAAAGGAAUAGAGAGAAGUAAUUACUAACAUAUUUUGAACAGCUAUUCUGUUUCAGGCACUGUGCUGUGUUCUCACUCAUUCAGUACCCAUUCAAAAUAAUUCUAUGAGUAGGUGGUAUUUUCACAAGUAGAAUCUCAGAACAUUUAAUUAACUUGACACUUGUCACAAAGCUUUGUUGAAAUGGAAUUCAUAUGCAGCUUUAUUCUGUGUUUCAAAUCUGUGUACUUUUAUUUGUGCUUGUCAUUUUAGUCAUGACUUGGAGAAUGGAUAAGGAUUUAAAAAUAAACAAUUGUGGAAUUAAAUUGUGAUGGAGAAAUUUGACACUUUUUCCGUUAUAUGCUGUCCAGCCCCAUUACCUACAAACAGUAUCCAGAUUGUAUUAUGAAAGUCUGUCUGUAUUAGUUAGGAUAAAUAACGCUAGCUGCCAUACAAGUAAACUCGGAAAUUACAGUGGCAUGAUCAUAGAAGAUUUUCUUGCCCACAGGUUAUUCAAUUAAUUGUUCUAUAGGAAUUCACACAGAGAUUCAAUGACCCAGGUCUUUUCACUAAGUGAUUCCAUUAUCCCCCGUAGUCUGAAUUUUGUCUCUCCAGAUGGUGACAAAGAGAGCAUACAGAGGACUACAUGAAGAGUAUC